AGCGCCGCCGCCUCCGCGCCUCCCUUCAGCCUGCCCGCGGCUUCCCGCCUCCGGCUGGGCUCGGGGACCUCGGAGGCCUGUUUCUGAGCCCCUCCCCGUGGACUCGCUCCCCCGACGCCCCCAGCGGGCUCCCCCGGCUUCGGCCCUGCAAGCCGCCGGGGCGGAGCCUCCCAUCCUUUGGGGCUUGGCCUCUGUGUUCUCCAGCCGUACAUCCCGGAAGUCAGCCUUACGUGCAGGGAACGACAGUGCCAUGGCAGACAGCGAGGGAUACCGGAACCCCACGGAGGUGCAGAUGAGCCAGCUGGUGCUGCCCUGCCAUACCAACCAACGCGGCGAGCUGAGCGUCGGGCAGCUGCUCAAGUGGAUUGACACCACGGCCUGCCUAUCUGUGUUGGACAAGUGGUGAAUAUCAAGGCCAAGGUGAACCGGGCCUUCAACUCCAGCAUGGAGGUGGGCAUCCAGGUGACCUCGGAGGACCUGUGCUCUGAGAAGCAGUGGAAUGUGUGCAAGGCCUUGGCCACCUUCGUGGCCCGCCGAGAGAUCACCAAGGUGAAGCUGAAGCAGAUCACGCCGCGGACAGAGGAGGAGAAGAUGGAGCACAGUGUGGCGGCUGAGCGCCGGCGCAUGCGCCUUGUCUAUGCGGACACCAUCAAGGACCUCCUGGCCAACUGCGCCAUUCAGGACGAUCUGGAGAGCAGAGACUGUAGCCGCAUGGUGCCGGCUGAGAAGACCCGUGUGGAGAGUGUGGAGCUGGUCCUGCCUCCCCACGCCAAUCACCAGGGCAACACCUUCGGGGGCCAGAUCAUGGCCUGGAUGGAGAAUGUGGCCACCAUUGCAGCCAGCCGGCUCUGCCGUGCCCACCCUACGCUGAAGGCCAUUGAGAUGUUCCACUUCCGAGGCCCGUCCCAGGUCGGCGACCGUCUGGUGCUCAAAGCCAUCGUGAACAAUGCCUUCAAACAUAGCAUGGAGGUGGGCGUGUGUGUGGAGGCCUAUCGCCAGGAGGCUGAGACCCACCGGCGCCACAUCAACAGUGCCUUUAUGACCUUUGUGGUCCUGGACGCAGAUGACCAGCCCCAGUUGCUGCCCUGGAUUCGGCCCCAGCCCGGGGAUGGUGAGCGGCGGUACCGAGAGGCCAGUGCCAGAAAGAAGAUCCGCCUGGACAGGAAGUACAUCGUGUCCUGUAAGCAGACAGAGGUGCCCCUCUCCGUCCCCUGGGACCCUAGCAACCAGGUGUACCUGAGCUACAAUAACGUCUCCUCCCUGAAGAUGCUUGUGGCCAAGGACAACUGGGUGCUGUCCUCGGAGAUCAGUCAGGUCCGCCUGUACACUCUGGAGGAUGACAAGUUCCUCUCCUUCCACAUGGAGAUGGUGGUGCAUGUGGAUGCAGCCCAGGCCUUCCUGCUGCUCUCGGACCUGCGUCAGAGGCCACAGUGGGACAAGCACUACCGAAGCGUGGAGCUAGUGCAGCAGGUAGACGAGGACGACGCCAUCUACCACGUCACCAGCCCUGCCCUCGGAGGUCACACAAAGCCCCAGGACUUCGUGAUCCUGGCCUCGAGGCGGAAGCCUUGUGACAAUGGGGACCCCUAUGUCAUCGCGCUGAGGUCGGUCACGCUGCCCACACACCGAGAGACGCCAGAGUACAGACGUGGAGAGACCCUCUGCUCAGGCUUCUGCCUCUGGCGCGAGGGGGACCAGCUGACCAAGGUGUCCUACUACAACCAGGCCACCCCAGGUGUUCUCAACUAUGUGACCACCAACGUGGCCGGCCUCUCCUCUGAGUUCUACACCACCUUCAAGGCUUGCGAGCAGUUUCUCUUGGACAACCGGAAUGAUCUGGCCCCCAGCCUCCAGACCCUGUAGAUGCCCUCAGUGGCCACAUCAUGCCCACUCCCACUCCGUCCUGUCCCCAAGGACUCACAUACAGUGCCUGGAGAAAGCCAAGACCUUUAUUUCUUUCUGCCUCCCCGUGGGAAGCCUCUGCCCUGAGGUCCGCUGGCCCACCACCCCUGGGUGCUCAGUUUCUGCCAACAUCGGCCAGCAAGUCCUUGCGGUACCCCUGGGGCAGCCUGUAGUAGACUCGGGUGCUGUCCACAGCCCUAGCUGCCAGCAGUGCUGUCCUCACAGAGGCAUAGUCGCCCCCAGCUGGGUCGUACUCCACUGUGACGGUGGCCCGGGGGGAGGAUGCCAGCAGCCUGGCUAUGGCUCCAGCUGUGCUGUGGCCCAGCAGCAUGGCCUGCAUCUGGAAGGACACAGGUUGCCAGAGCCCCUGGCACAGCUCUAGCAUAUCUGUGAGCAGCUGUUCCCUGUAGCCACUGCCCAGCACCUCCUCAGGCCAGCCUGGUGCCACAGUCACGUGGGGGAAGACCUCAGCCACAGCUGUAAGCAGCUCUCUGCCAGCCACAUGGCCAGGGACCGAAAAACUCCCGUGGGAGAUUUUGGCCCCAACCCACACAGGCCAAUGCAAGAGGCCAAGGCUGGAGAGGCGUGCCAGCAAAGCCAGGGAUGGCCGGAGGGCUGCGGGCUCUGCUAUUUGCAAAUGGAUGCCCCAGUGUCCGGGAUGUGUGGCCAGCUGCUGCAGGCAGGACUCCAGCGUCAGGAUGCUGCCACUUGGAGUAUGAACAAUGGGCACGGGGUUUUCAGACACAGUUCCCUCGAGGCCAGUGUUCAGCAGGAUCAUGCCUUCUGUGUCUGGAAGAGGCGGCAGAGGCAACAGUGUUUAGGAUUUGGGUUAUCAUAAGGUGUUAAGAGUCCCUUGUUAAAGGGGCAGUGGGAGUUAUGGGGUCAUCAGGGACCUUGCCUCUCUGGAAUCUGUCAACCCAGUUUUGGGCUCCAGGUGGAUGGGUUGCUUUAUAAAUGUGCCUGGUGCAUGAG
rnacentral:sRNA from 1 species